CGGGUGAGUAACACGUGAACAACCUGUCCUCACGUUCCGAAUAAUUGGGAGAAAUCCCUUGUAAUGCGGGCGAGGAACUUUGUGGGGCAUCUCACGAAGCGGGAACGCGCAAGCGGCGCGAGGAGGGGUUCGCGGCCUAUCAGUUUGUUGGUGGGGUAACGGCCUACCAAGACGACGACGGGUAGCUGGUCUGAGAGGAUGGUCAGCCGCAUUGGAACUGAGAUACUGUCCAG
rnacentral:rRNA from 1 species